ACCGCGGGAUCAAUAUGUAAAAAGCUAGCGUGUGAGCUUCAGAGCGUUGUUUACAAUCAUGGCUGGCUCUCGUGUCUCGUGCGGUCUCGAGUGCAGUAAUAUUUACGAGUUAAAUGACAGUCUCCAGGAAUCGUCAAAGGCUGGAUAUGAUUUCCUCUCCAUUCCUCUGGCACAUCCGCGAUUCACAAGGGAACAUGUAGACGGAAAAGC
rnacentral:lncRNA from 1 species